rnacentral:rRNA from 1 species
GAUGAACGCUGGCGGCGUGCCUAAUACAUGCAAGUCGAGCGAACGGACGAGAAGCUUGCUUCUCUGAUGUUAGCGGCGGACGGGUGAGUAACACGUGGAUAACCUACCUAUAAGACUGGGAUAACUUCGGGAAACCGGAGCUAAUACCGGAUAAUAUUUUGAACCGCAUGGUUCAAAAGUGAAAGACGGUCUUGCUGUCACUUAUAGAUGGAUCCGCGCUGCAUUAGCUAGUUGGUAAGGUAACGGCUUACCAAGGCAACGAUGCAUAGCCGACCUGAGAGGGUGAUCGGCCACACUGGAACUGAGACACGGUCCAGACUCCUACGGGAGGCAGCAGUAGGGAAUCUUCCGCAAUGGGCGAAGCCUGACGGAGCAACGCCGCGUGAGUGAUGAAGGUCUUCGGAUCGUAAAACUCUGUUAUUAGGGAAGAACAUAUGUGUAAGUAACUGCGCACAUCUUGACGGUACCUAAUCAGAAAGCCACGGCUAACUACGUG